rnacentral:tRNA from 1 species
GCCGGAAUAGCUCAGUKGGUAGAGCAGGGGACUGAAAAUCCUCGU